UUUCCGUAGGUGAACCUGCGGAAGGAUCAUUAUCGAAUUCAGAAGGCUUGGGUUGUAGCUGGUCCCUCGGGACAAGUGCUCGCCCUUGCUCUUUCCGACACACCUUGUGCACUCCCGCGUGGGCUGCGAUGACCUCGGUCGUCGCGCUCGCGAUUUUAUACACUCUUCGUAUGUCUCAGAAUGUCUUUGCGUGUUGCGCAUCUAAUACAACUUUCAACAACGGAUCUCUUGGCUCUCGCAUCGAUGAAGAACGCAGCGAAAUGCGAUAAGUAAUGUGAAUUGCAGAAUUCAGUGAAUCAUCGAAUCUUUGAACGCACCUUGCGCCCCUUGGUAUUCCGAGGGGCACACCUGUUUGAGUGUCGUGAAUUUCUCAACUCCGCCUCCUUUGCGGGAGAGCGGGGCUUGGAGUUGGAGGUUUGCGGGCGCAAGUCCGCUCCUCUCAAAUGCAUUAGUGAAGCCCAGGCGGCCUCGGCGUGAUAAUUGUCUACGUCCAAGGUUGUCUAUUGCGGUUUUCGCUUCUAACCGU
rnacentral:rRNA from 1 species